rnacentral:rRNA from 1 species
AGCGAACGCUGGCGGCAGGCCUAACACAUGCAAGUCGAACGAACCUUUCGGGGUUAGUGGCGGAUGCGGGAGUAACACGGCGGAACGUGCCUUUAGGUUCGGAAUAAUACAGGGAAACUUGUGCUAAUACCGAAUGUGCUCUUCGGGGGAAAGAUUAAUCGUCUGUAGAGCGGCCCGCGUCUGCUUAGCUAGUUGCUUGAGGUAAUGGCUCACCAAGGCUACGAUCAGUAGCGGGUCUGAGAGGAAGAUCAGACACAUUGGGACUGAGACACGGCCCAAAAUACUACGGGAGGCAGCAGUGGGGAAUCUUGCGAAAUGGGCGAAAGCCUGAAGCAGCCAUGCCGCGUGAAUGAUGAAGGUCUGAGGAUUGUAAAAUUCUUUAAUCGGGGACGAUAAUGACGGUACCCGAAGAAGAAGCCCCGGCUAACUUCGUG